rnacentral:rRNA from 1 species
UACGAAGGGGGCUAGCGUUGCUCGGAAUUACUGGGCGUAAAGGGAGCGUAGGCGGGUUAUCAAGUUGGAGGUGAAAGCCCAGGGCUCAACCUUGGAAUUGCCUUCAAAACUGAUAACCUAGAGGAUGAUAGAGGUAAGUGGAACUCCGAGUGUAGAGGUGAAAUUCGUAGAUAUUCGGAAGAACACCAGUGGCGAAGGCGACUUACUGGAUCAUUACUGACGCUGAGGCUCGAAAGCGUGGGGAGCAAACAGGAUUAGAAACCCUCGUAGUCC